UACGUAGGGUGCGAGCGUUGUCCGGAAUUAUUGGGCGUAAAGAGCUUGUAGGCGGUUUGUCGCGUCUGCCGUGAAAAUCAGGGGCUCAACCCCGGACUUGCGGUGGGUACGGGCAGACUAGAGUGUGGUAGGGGAGACUGGAAUUCCUGGUGUAGCGGUGAAAUGCGCAGAUAUCAGGAGGAACACCGAUGGCGAAGGCAGGUCUCUGGGCCACUACUGACGCUGAGAAGCGAAAGCGUGGGGAGCGAACAGG
rnacentral:rRNA from 1 species